rnacentral:rRNA from 1 species
GAUGAACGCUGGCGGCGUGCCUAAUACAUGCAAGUCGAGCGAACAGACGAGGAGCUUGCUCCUCUGACGUUAGCGGCGGACGGGUGAGUAACACGUGGAUAACCUACCUAUAAGACUGGGAUAACUUCGGGAAACCGGAGCUAAUACCGGAUAAUAUAUUGAACCGCAUGGUUCAAUAGUGAAAGACGGUUUUGCUGUCCCUUAUAGAUGGAACCGCGCCGCAUUAGCUAGUUGGUAAGGUAACGGCUUACCAAGGCAACGAUGCGUAGCCGACCUGAGAGGGUGAUCGGCCACACUGGAACUGAGACACGGUCCAGACUCCUACGGGAGGCAGCAGUAGGGAAUCUUCCGCAAUGGGCGAAAGCUUGACGGAGCAACGCCGCGUGAGUGAUGAAGGUCUUCGGAUCGUAAAACUCUGUUAUUAGGGAAGAACAAAUGUGUAAGUAACUAUGCACGUCUUGACGGUACCUAAUCAGAAAGCCACGGCUAACUACGUG